rnacentral:rRNA from 1 species
UACGUAGGGGGCUAGCGUUAUCCGGAAUUACUGGGCGUAAAGGGUGCGUAGGUGGUUUCUUAAGUCAGAGGUGAAAGGCUACGGCUCAACCGUAGUAAGCCUUUGAAACUGGGAAACUUGAGUGCAGGAGAGGAGAGUGGAAUUCCUAGUGUAGCGGUGAAAUGCGUAGAUAUUAGGAGGAACACCAGUUGCGAAGGCGGCUCUCUGGACUGUAACUGACACUGAGGCACGAAAGCGUGGGGAGCAAACAGGAUUAGAUACCGCCGUAGUCCCUGAGCGGG